UACGUAGGGGGCGAGCGUUGUCCGGAUUCAUUGGGCGUAAAGCGCGCGUAGGCGGCUCCGCAAGUCGGCCGUGAAAUCUCCAGGCUCAACUUGGAGGGGUCGGGCGAGACUGCGGAGCUCGAGGUGGGCAGAGGGCAGUGGAAUUCCGGGUGUAGUGGUGGAAUGCGUAGAGAUCCGGAGGAACACCAGUGGCGAAGGCGGGUCUCUGGACAGUUCCUGACACUGAGACACGAAGGCCAGGGGAGCAAACGGG
rnacentral:rRNA from 1 species